rnacentral:rRNA from 1 species
GUGCCAGCCGCCGCGGUAAUACCGGCAGCCCAAGUGAUGACCGAUCUUAUUGGGCCUAAAGCGUCCGUAGCUGGCUGCGCAAGUCCGUCGGGAAAUCCACUCGCCCAACGAGUGGGCGUCCGACGGAAACUGCACAGCUUGGGACCGGAAGGCUCGAAGGGUACGUGCGGGGUAGGAGUGAAUUCCUGUAAUCCCGUCCGGACCACCGAUGGCGAAAGCACUUCGAGAAAACGGAUCCGACAGUGAGGGACGAAAGCUAAGAUCGCGAACCGGAUUAGAAACCCUAGUAGUCC